CACCAAAAAAGGUAAUGGAGAAGGAGCUGGUAGAGUGGGAGGGGACAAGGCCUUCUGGUGGAAGCACAAGUGUGUGGGAGAGAAUUUCAUGCCGGGGGAGUCAGGACUGUAGAAGCAUCUGGAGCUACUCCAUUGCACUUCUGCUGGAGGCUAUUUGCACCUGCUGCCUGAUGACUGCUGUAUCAUGCUUAUUUAUAAGUUGACCCAGAAGUUCAAGUCUUUCAUAUGAAACUACUGAGAGUUGAUCCAAUAUUUUAUUUCUACCACCACUUGGUUAAAGGACAGAUUUUAUUUUUAAGUCAUGUUUAUGUUAGCAGACUGGUUGACUACCAAAAAAGACUCUCUCUUGAUUUGUCUUCUCUUGUCCAAAAAUGAAGAUUAAGCGGCAAAUGUCAGCUAUUGGACUGCUCUGUUUAAUGAUGGUCAAUUUGUAUUAAAUAUAUGCUUAUUCAA